UGGGGAAUUUUGGACAAUGGGCGAAAGCCUGGUCCAGCCAUGCCGCGUGAGUGAAGAAGGCCUUCGGGUUGUAAAGCUCUUUUAGUCGGAAAGAAAGAGUUGCAAUGAAUAAUUGUGAUUUAUGACGGUACCUGCAGAAAAAGCACCGGCUAACUACGUGCCAGCAGCCGCGGUGAUACGUAGGGUGCAAGCGUUGUUCGGAUUUACUGGGCGUAAAGGGCGCGUAGGCGGCGCGGUAAGUCACUUGUGAAAUCUCUGAGCUUAACUCAGAACGGCCAAGUGAUACUGCUGUGCUAGAGUGCGGAAGAGGCAACCGGAAUUCUUGGUGUAGCGGUGAAAUGCGUAGAUAUCAAGAGGAACACCUGAGGCGAAGGCGGGUUGCUGGGCCGACACUGACGCUGAUGCGCGAAAGCCAGGGGAGCAAACG
rnacentral:rRNA from 1 species